rnacentral:lncRNA from 1 species
CUUCCUUUGGCAACAUGAGUUCAAAAAGAAGAUCAAAACAUAAAGAAUGUGUUUCACAGAACAAAAUGUAGAUGUAGACGAGGCUGAACAGUGAUGUCAGAGAAAACUGGACUAUGCACUCAAGAUCACAGGAAUUACUUUGCUAAAGGUAUGAGAAGUGGAAGAUGUUUGAGAAGCUCUGAUCUAUAAGAAGGGUACUUAUGAGCUCAUGGGGUGAGACUUCAACAAAAGCAAAACAACAUCAACAAUAAAACACCGUGAAAACCUAUUAAAGGCAUUGUGCACCCGGUGAACAUUCUACAGAAUGCCUGCCCUGGAGUCUGCUGUUACACGUGCCGUUGCAUGGUUACAGUAGAAUGCUUAAAGUAAGAAAUUGAAUUAAAGCUUCAUGCUGUUU